AAUGAUGAGAAAAAGGUUCACCGGAUCGCGUGGAAGAAAAUGUGUGAGAGUAAUCAGGAGGGAGGGAUGGGGUUUCGAGAUAUGGAAGCUUUCAACCAGGCUUUACUAGCAAAGCAAGCAUGGAGACUGUUGCAAGUCCCUUCUUCUCUGUGUGGGCGCGUCCGUAAGGCACGUUACUAUGAUCAUGGGACAAUCCUCAAUGCGACAUGUCUGAGUGGUGCAUCAUAUACUUUCAGAAGCAUUCUGCAUAGCAGGGACUGCUACCUCUUGAGCACUGCGUUGGAUUUCCCCAAAGAGGAGAGGAUGAUGCAGCAAAGUAGCAUAAGUAUUUCCCUCAGUUUUUGA
rnacentral:rRNA from 1 species